GACGAACGCUGGCGGCAUGCCUAAUACAUGCAAGUCGAGCGAACAGAUGAAGUGCUUGCACUUCUGACGUUAGCGGCGAACGGGUGAGUAACACGUAAGGAAUCUACCUAUAAGCGGGGGAUAACAUUCGGAAACGGGUGCUAAUACCGCAUAGUAUCUUCUUCCGCAUGGAAGAAGAUUGAAAGACGGCUCUGCUGUCACUUAUAGAUGACCUUGCGGUGCAUUAGUUAGUUGGUGGGGUAAUGGCCUACCAAGACGAUGAUGCAGAGCCGACCUGAGAGGGUGAUCGGCCACAUUGGGACUGAGACACGGCCCAAACUCCUACGGGAGGCAGCAGUAGGGAAUCUUCCGCAAUGGGCGAAAGCCUGACGGAGCAAUGCCGCGUGAGUGAAGAAGGCCUUCGGGUCGUAAAACUCUGUUAUAAGAGAAGAGCAAAUUGUAGAGUAACUGCUACAGUCUUGACGGUAUCUUAUCAGAAAGCCACGGCUAACUACGUGCCAGCCGCCGCAGUAA
rnacentral:rRNA from 1 species